rnacentral:rRNA from 1 species
GACGAACGCUGGCGGAAUGGAUUANGCAUGCAAGUCGUACGAUAUUCGCUCCUUCGGGGGUGAUGAGAGUGGCAAACGGGUGAGUAACGCGUGGGUAUCUGCCUUUAAGCGGGGGACAACUCAGGGAAACUUGAGCUAAUACCGCAUGUGGCAGUAAUGCUAAAGGUGGCCUCUAUUUAUAAGCUACCGCUUAGAGAUGAGCCUGCGUACUAUUAGUCAGUUGGUUGGGUAAUGGCUAACCAAGACAAUGAUAGUUAGGCGGCCUUAACGGGUGGUCGCCCACACUGGGAUUGAGAAACGGCCCAGACUCCUACGGGAGGCAGCAGUCGAGAAUAGUCUACAAUGGACGAAAGUCUGAUAGUGCAAUUCCGCGUGGAUGAAGAAGCAUUUCGGUGUGUAAAAUCCUUUUCUUUGUGAGCAACGAUAUUAAGGUGAACAAUUUUAGUAUUAAGAUAUUAGCAAAGGAAUAAGCCUCGGCUAACUUCGUGCCAGCAGCCGCGGUAAUACGGGGGAGGCAAGCGUUGUCCGGAAUCACUAGGCGUAAAGGGCAAGUAGGCGGAUUGGUAAGUUACGGGUUAAAUUUAGGGGCUCAACCUCUAGUCAGCUCGUGAUACUGCCCAUCUAGAGUCAGACAGGGGAAGACGGAAUUCCCGGUGUAGCGGUGGAAUGCGCAGAUAUCGGGAGGAACACUCAUGGCGAAGGCAGUUUUCUGGGUCAUGACUGACGCUCAAUUGCGAAGGUGUGGGGAUCAAACAGGAUUAGAUACCCUGGUAGUCCACACAGUAAACGAUAAACACUAGGUGUUGGUGGAGAUAAUUCAUCAGUGCCGUAGCUAACGCGUUAAGUGUUUCGCCUGGGGAGUACGAUCGCAAGAUUGAAACUCAAAGGAAUUGACGGGGACCCGCACAAGCGGUGGAGCAUGUGGUUUAAUUCGAUGCAACGCGAAGAACCUUACCUGGGCUUGACAUGUAUAAGAACUUAUUAGAGAUAAUGGGGUGCUGGUUUUCCAGAGCUUUUACACAGGUGCUGCAUGCCUGUCGUCAGCUCGUGUCGUGAGAUGUUGGGUUAAGUCCCGCAACGAGCGCAACCCUUAUCCUUAGUUGCCAUCAUUUAGUUGGGGACUCUAGGGAGACUGCCAGCGUAAAAAGCUGGAGGAAGGUGGGGACGACGUCAAGUCAUCAUGGUCCUUAUGUCCAGGGCUACACACGUGCUACAAUGGUUGGUACAAAGAGGAGCUACGCAGUAAUGCCACGCAAAUCUCAUAAAGCCAAUCUCAGUUCGGAUUGAGGUCUGCAACUCGACCUCAUGAAGUCGGAAUCGCUAGUAAUCGUGCGUCAGAACAGCACGGUGAAUACGUUCCCGGGUCUUGUACACACCGCCCGUCAAGUCAGCCGAAUUGAGUGCACCCGAAGAAGGUGAGCAAACCGCAAGGAAGCAGCUUUCGAAGGUGUGCUUAGUAAGGGGGACU